rnacentral:lncRNA from 1 species
UGUCGAUCGUAAUAAAAUUCUCCAUUGGGAUUUAUCACCUCGUCUACUAGAAAUCCUAUGAGUGCUUCUUGCAUUGCCAAAAGCCUUUCCUUCUCGAAGAGUUCUUCGCGAAUCCGCCACAUCUAUAAUUUGGAAAUAUGUGAAUGUUACACCAAUAAUUAAAUAAAAGGAGCUGGAAAAUGAUUAAUAAUUAAUAGGUUUAUUUUACAUACAGUUAUAUUGUCCGAUAGCACCUUGUCCCUCACGAAAUGGUGUAUGUGCUCACAAACGUAGUAUCCACAUAAAUUAUUCCCUUAUUCUUAUCUCAAGAACUUUAGUGGAAAAAACAAGUUAUGAAAUAUUCAUGUUAUAGAAUGUACAAAAUGUGCAAACUUCAUACAUACCGGAAAAAUUAUACUGAAUGUAAGUUUUUUUUUGAAAUCACCACAUUGAUUCUUACGGAAUCAUUUCCAUGCGCUGCGAUUUAAAAUAAUGAAUGAUACAGUGUUAGGUGAAAAUUUAGGAAACAAACUUUUGCAUAGAGAUAAAGGUCCAGAAUUAAUAGAAGUUAAGCAGGACUUGAAUGUCUUGGUACUCGUCAUUUGGUUUCCUCAAUGAAUCAAAUACAAUAACGUUGCUUUUGUCAAUCAUAAUUAUAAAGAGAAUCCAGUGGAAACUGCGUACAUAAAUGUUCCUAUUAGAGCUAACUAACAUUAAUUAGGUAAGGAAAGGAAAACGAAAAUCGAUGGUAUCCACACUUACUUAAAGUUGUAAUGCAGUAUUAUGUAUUACUUGCAAUUAUGUUGCUCCAAGAAUUUGUAUAUUCGGUCCAAUAUAUCCUUUGGGUGAUCAUGUAUCUGUUGUUGGUUAACAAGCACUGGGUCCAUGAAACCAACGUUGAAGUAUGAUUCUCGACGGCACCUCUAAAUUUGCAUCCUACAUAAAAUGAAAGACAAAGUUAGUGGGACAUGACACACAAUAAUGAUCCGAGCCAAAAUUAACAUCUAAUAAACACACACUUACGGAACCCAGGCGCUGAUAAGAGAGGCAUGAAGGGCAUCUUGAUGGUACACUUCAUAAAUAUCCUUGAAUUCCAACCACAUCAGUUUCUCACCUUCACCGAAAAAAUCAAUCAGUUUAACAAGAAGAGCGAACAUGGUCCUGUCACUGGCCG